ACCGCUUCUCCGCCUUUUGGCUAAGAUCAAGUGUAGUGUCUGUUCUUAUCAGUUAAUACCUGAUACAUUCUCUAUCCGAGGGUGAUAUAUUAAAUGGAGUUUUGAAGCUGGGAGAUGGAGUAGAAGCUUGCUCCGUCCACUCUGCGCAUAGACCUUGUAUUGCAUUACUUCCAGGAACGUGUGUGUGUGUG